ACUGCCUGGAACUGAUCUCGCCAAGCUCACAUAAUAGUCACAUGUCCUGCGCCUCCUCCCCUCUGUGGGUCCUUGUCCCUCUUGUCCUUGUGUUCGUCAUCCACCUUCCUCGCUGCACAGGACGUCACCUCCACCGCCAGGCAAUCACAGAGGGCACGAUCGCCCCGCCGCGGCCAACUCACUGUGCAGGACAUCAAAUCGCCACGGCCGAUCAGAACAAUCGGACCGGUCAUCAGCGAGCCGCUUCAGACGAUCGGUGCAUUAGUGCGGGCUUCAUCAUGCCUCCUCCCCUUCCAUCGGGUGUCAAGUGGAACAUGGAAGGCAUCGUCGCUGAUAGCUUUGUUCAGACUGCACAGUGAAGUUUAGGGAGUGGUGAAUGCAAACGAGAUAUCUAGAAGUCCUUUUUAAGGAUUUAUUCGUUGUUGAGUGCAGAAUAUACAUCACCUGGUGCCAAUUCUUCCAUUGUUGAGCACUUGUAGUUGACUGUAUAUGCUGUUUUCUUGUGGCGAUGGGCAGAGUGGCAUUAUCUCUCUUUCUUGAACUUGCCUUGAUCAAACAUAUAUGCGAGCCAUGAAGGUGAUAGGGAGUGGCUAUACCACAAGGUGGUGAUACAUGUAGGAAUACAAUAGAUUUGAUCAUGGCUCCGCACAGUUGUACACAGUCAGAAUGCUAGAAGAGGUGUUCUCAAGCAUAUAGUUGAUUGAUAAGCUUAUCACAAAUAGCAUGUAUGUAUCAUUCAUCAGUCUUGGUUUCCUUGCACCAAUCAUCUUGCUCAGA